GAUCAUGGCUCAGGAUGAACGCUGGCGGCGUGCUUAACACAUGCAAGUCGAACGAAGACAUCUGAGUGCUUGCACUUGGAUGGACUGAGUGGCGGACGGGUGAGUAACGCGUGGGUAACCUGCCUUAUACAGGGGGAUAACAGUUGGAAACGACUGCUAAUACCGCAUAAGCGCACGGUAUCGCAUGAUACAGUGUGAAAAACUCCGGUGGUAUAAGAUGGACCCGCGU
rnacentral:rRNA from 1 species